rnacentral:lncRNA from 1 species
AUUAUCGUUUAAAUUAAAUUUAUAUUUAGUGAAGUGUUGGAAUUAAUUCCAUUAAAAGGAAAAUUGAGUGCGUGAAGGUAAGUAAGCAAAGAAAGGAAGAUGAUGAAUCAAUUGAUGAAGAAAAAAAUCACAACAGUAUAUAUUACAUCAUGAAAUCCAAAUUAAACAUAAGAAAAGUACAAUGGGAGAAAAAGUGGUGGCAUAAGAAUAUGAAUGAUGAUGAAGAAGAAAAAAAGGAGAAACUCAAAAGAGAAAGCCAAAAGCAAGAAGAAGAAGAGAAGCAACCGCGGUUGGGGCGAACAUGGUGGUGGCAUCCGAUGUGGGACUUGGAGCAGGUGAAUCUGCAGCUGAGGCAGCCAUGAUCAACAUGGCCAUGGCAACAAAGAAAAGCUUCAUCUUCAAUGCCUCCAUUGUUUCUGAAAGUACAACUUUCUUGUUUGAGAGAAGAGAAUAAGGGAGAAAGAUUGAGAGGUAGGAGCAGUGUUGGUUGAAAAGGAACUGGUGCUGUGUGCUGUUUUAUACAGUGGCUUCAUGAACAACACAACAAAUGUGAAUCGUUGGUUUUUUAACGGGCAGCCUGCCCGAACAAUUUUUUUUUAUAAAUAUAUUUUAUUUUCGGGGAUUUCAAGGCUGCCUUAUGGCUUCCCACUUAUAUUAUGAAAUGAAAAUGUUGGCAUGCAUGAAUGGAG